UAACCCAACCGUUGGGUUACACAUAUUGGGUCAUUGUGUUGGGUUAUCUUAAAAUUUGUUGGGUCAUUUAUUUUCGGCGUUGGGUUAUUUUUAGUUAUAACCCAACUGUUGGGUUAAAUAUGGUUCCCGCUUCACUCCGGUUCAAAUUUUAACGGUCCAGUCAGCGACUCAGUGGACAUCAGCGGCAGUCUGCCUGAUUAUGAAAGAUAAAUGGAUUUGUGGAUUUUUGUAAAGAAAAAGAUUACAACAGCGGAACCUCUGCAAUUUAAUAGAAACAUUUCAAGGUUGGUGCUAAUAUGGUCCACUACCUCAACAAUGAGACAAGCCAGGAUCCACAUGUCUUGGUGCUUGGAGACAAAUGAAAUUCCUCCCAAGUUUUCAUCAUUUUCAUUGGAGAGGCAGUUGAAAAGGAGACCUUACUUCAAGCAGUGAAUGAAUGCUUCAAAACGUUCUACAUCUAUGACGUAAACUACCCAAAGCCCUCUGCUCCAAUUUGGGAGUUCUUGCAGCAUGCAGUCUAUAAUAUUCCUGGAGGAGUUCCUUCUACACAUUGCUGCCUCCUAAAAAACUUUGUAUUCAAAGUUACUGAUCAUCAGUUGAUCCAGUAGCCAAAAACACACGUUUAAGGGUUAGUUCACCCACAAAUGAAAAUUCUGUCAUUAAUCACCCUCAUGUUGUUCCAAACCCGCAAGACCUCCAUUCAUCUUUGGAACACAAAUUAAGAUAUUGUUGAUGCAUUCUGACAGCUCUCUGACCCUCCUAUGGACAGCAAGGGUCCUUACACCAUCAAUGUCCAGAAACUUAGCAAGGAGAUUGGUAAAAUAAUCCAUGUGACAUCAGGGGUUUAACUUUAACAGCAUACGCUGUUUACGUUGAGUGGAUACUGUCCAAAAUGGCACUAGGGUGACACGGAGGAGACAAAUUGUUGAAUAAACUCAUUAUUUUUUUUUCUUUUGCCCACAAAAAGUAUUCUCGUAUAAUAUUACGGUUGAACCCCUGAUGUCACAUGGAUUAUUUUACCAAUCCUUGCUAAGUUUCUGGACGUUGAUGGUGUAAGGACCCUUGCUGUCUAUGGGAGGGUCAGAGAGCUGUCAGAAUGCAUCAAAAAUAUCUUAACUUGUGUUCCAAAGAUGAACGGAGGUCUUACGGGUUUAGAACGACAUGAGGGUGAGUAAUUAAUAACAGAAUUUUCAUUUUUGGGUGAACUAUCCCUUUAAGGUGUUUAUAACACAAUGCAUAUGGUGACCACUGCAGCAUUUUUAUUAAGGAUAUGUUUAUUUCUUGAAGUAUAAAGGUAUGUCCUUGGUGUACACAUUUGUGUAGUUUUUGGUAUACUGGUAUGUGCACAUUUGUGGUUUGAAUUUGUAUACCGUAUGUGCACAGAUGUUUAGGUUGUAUAUUUCUGUACUGUAUGUGCACAUUUGUUUUGAAUAUUUGUACUGUAUGUGGAUAUUUGUGUUUUGAAUUUAACAUGUAUUUGAAUUUAUGUAUAUUGUUUGUGUAUAUUUGUUUUGAAUUUAAUGUGUAUUUUGAAUAUUUGUACUUCAACAUUUAUUUGCCAUGUGUUCUGCAUGUUCACUCGUGUAUUUUGAAUUCAAUAUAAUUGUGCACAUUUAUAUUAAAUACUAGGCUCAUCAAUAUUGAGUAAAUUUGUCAUUUAAAACUUAAAAACUGUUUUUAAAGCAGAUUUAUUGUUUUUCUACUUAAAUAAAACAUACGUAUUUGAAAAUUGUGUAUUUUAUUCAUUAAAAUAAUCUCAUGAAUAAAAGUAAAUAGUUAACCCAACUGUUGGGUUAUUUUUAACCCAACUGGCUUUUAACCCAAUCAUUGGGUUAAAAAUAACCCACAGUUGGGAAGGUGCUAUACCAACCCAUAGUUGGGUUACUUGUUGGGUUAUUUUUAACCCAACUGUUUUUAGUGUGUAUUAUUUUUUUGCAAUUUUUUUAAUUAUUCUCCAAAUGAGUGAACAGCAGCUUAAUGCAACCAGACCUUUUGGCUUUUUGUGCAAUUAUAAGCUGGCACAGAGGGAAAAUCACUGAGUUAUUUUUGCUCCUGCAGUAGACUACAUUUCAUGAUUUUGUGAUGUGAAAUCAUUUAGCACGUAAUUGCAGGGUUGGUUUAACUGCUGCUCAUUAAAUGUAAACAGAUAUAUUUGGGGUUUAAUUAUAGCUCAGCACCCAGUUAUUUCAUCUGUCUUUUUUUUCUCAAAGCAGGAGACGUUUGUCUCUCAGUCAGCGACUCACUGUUUGGAAAAUAGCUGGGCCACCAUGGAUCAAUACUCUUUCAGUAUCAUACCACAGUGCCACACUUGAGGUAUUCUGUUCAUUGUGUUUUCUCUCUAGACAGAGUAACCCUGUUUUCAGAGAAUGUCUACAGUGUUUGCACAAACCAGAGAAACCAAAGUUAAGAAAGUGGUCUUGUAUAAAACUAACAACAACACAUGCAUGCUGUACCAAUAUUCUGGAUAUAUUAUAAAUUAAGCUUAAUAGACAGCUUUAUGACACAAUAAUGAUUGCAAAAUUUGUAUAUACUUUUUCUUAAAAAAAAAGGUACUUACAGUAGAAUUGAAUCUGUAAACAUUACUCACUCAUUCAAGAGUUUAGAUAUAAACAAUAUGCAUGUUAACAUUUGAGUAAAGUUAUAUCCAAAUUUAAAGCAUCAUUUUAGUAUCAUUGCGAUACUUUCGUAGUAUCAUUUAAUUACUUUUUAUUUUUUAUAUUUCCUGUUUUAAUUUUAAUUUUAAAGUUUUAAUAAAUGUGUUUUGUCUUUGUCAUUUUUUUUUAAAAGU
ensembl:lncRNA